rnacentral:rRNA from 1 species
ACGGGAGGCAGCAGUGGGGAAUAUUGCACAAUGGGCGAAAGCCUGAUGCAGCGACGCCGCGUGAGGGAUGACGGCCUUCGGGUUGUAAACCUCUUUCAGCAGGGACGAAGCGGAAGUGACGGUACCUGCAGAAGAAGCACCGGCCAACUACGUGCCAGCAGCCGCGGUAAUACGUAGGGUGCAAGCGUUGUCCGGAAUUAUUGGGCGUAAAGAGCUCGUAGGCGGUUUGUCGCGUCUGCUGUGAAAACCCGAGGCUCAACCUCGGGCCUGCAGUGGGUACGGGCAGACUAGAGUGCGGUAGGGGAGAUUGGAAUUCCUGGUGUAGCGGUGGAAUGCGCAGAUAUCAGGAGGAACACCGGUGGCGAAGGCGGUUCUCUGGGCAUUACCUGACGCUGAGAAGCGAAAGCGUGGGGAGCAAACAGGCUUAGAU